rnacentral:rRNA from 1 species
AGAGUUUGAUCCUGGCUCAGGACGAACGCUGGCGGUGUGCUUAAUACAUGCAAGUCGAACGAUGAGUACCUUUCGGGGUACAUCAGUGGCGGACGGCUGAGUAACACGUAGGUAACGUGCCCUUUACUGGGGGAUAACAUCGGGAAACCGGUGCUAAUACCGCAUAAGUCAUCGAUUGAAAUAUUGAUGAUUAAAGAAUUUCGGUAAAGGAUCGGCCUGCGUCUGAUUAGCUAGUUGGUAGGGUAAAGGCCUACCAAGGCAAUGAUCAGUAGUUGGUCUGAGAGGAUGACCAGCCAGAGUGGGACUGAGAUACGGCCCACACUUCUACGGAAGGCAGCAGUAGGGAAUUUUGCGCAAUGGGCGAAAGCCUGACGCAGCAACACCGCGUGUAGGAUGAAGGUUUUAGGAUCGUAAACUACUGUCAGCAGGGAAUAAAUUGACUGUACCUGCAGAGGAAGCAUCGGCUAACUACGUGCCAGCAGCCGCGGUAAGACGUAGGAUGCAAGCGUUGUCCGGAAUUAUUGGGCGUAAAGAGUUCGUAGGCGGUUGCCUAAGUCUGGUGUUAAAGCCCGGAGCUCAACUCCGGCAUGGCAUUGGAAACUGGGCAGCUAGAGUGUGGUAGAGGUAUCGGGAAUUCCUGGUGUAGCGGUGAAAUGCGUAGAUAUCAGGAGGAACACCGGUGGCGAAAGCGCGAUACUGGGCCAUAACUGACGCUGAGGAACGAAAGCUAGGGGAGCGAAAGGGAUUAGAUACCCCUGUAGUCCUAGCCGUAGACGAUGGAUACUAGGUGUUGGAGGAUUCGACCCCUUCAGUGCCGCAGCUAACGCGAUAAGUAUCCCGCCUGGGGAGUACGACCGCAAGGUUGAAACUCAAAGGAAUUGACGGGGGCCCGCACAAGCGGUGGAACAUGUGGUUUAAUUCGAUGCAACGCGAAGAACCUUACCUGGGCUUGACAUCUUUGGAACCUUGCGGAAACGUGAGGGUGCCUUCGGGAGCCAAAAGACAGGUGGUGCACGGUUGUCGUCAGCUCGUGUCGUGAGAUGUUGGGUUAAGUCCCGCAACGAGCGCAACCCUCGUGGUCUGUUGUUACAGGUCGUAAGAUGCUGAACCCUCAGGCCAGACUGCCGGUGACAAACCGGAGGAAGGUGGGGAUGACGUCAAAUCAUCACGCCCCUUAUGUCCCGGGCUACACACGUGUUACAAUGGGAGUGGACAAUGGGUCGCUUGGCAGCAAUGUCCGGCAAAUCCCCUAAACCACCCCUCAGUUCGGAUCGUAGUCUGCAACUCGACUACGUGAAGUCGGAAUCGCUAGUAAACGCAGAUCAGCACGCUGCGUUGAAUACGUUCCCGGGCCUUGUACACACCGCCCGUCACACCACGAAAGAGGGUUAUACCCGAAGUCGGUGCCCCAACCGUAAGGAGGGAGCCGCCGAAGGUAGAAUUCUUGAUUGGGGUGAAGUCGUAACAAGGUAGCCGUACCGGAAGGUGUGGCUG